CCAAUAGCGUAUAUUAAAGUUGUUGCAGUUAAAAAGCUCGUAGUUGAAUUUCGGGAUCAAUACGUCGGUCGUGCUUUUUUGGUACGCACUGGCGUCAUUGGUUUCUCCUUUCUGACGAACCAUGAUGUCAUUAAUUUGGUGUUAUGGGGAGUUAGGACUGUUACUUUGAAAAAAUUAGAGUGUUUAAAGCAGGCAUUAGCUUGAAUACAUUAGCAUGGAAUAAUGAAAUAGGACGUUCGAUCCUAUUUUGUUGGUUUCUAGGAUCAACGUAAUGAUUAAUAGGGAUAGUUGGGGGCAUUAGUAUUCAAUUGUCAGAGGUGAAAUUCUUGGAUUUAUUGAAGACUAACUACUGCGAAAGCAUUUGCCAAGGAUGUUUUCAUUAAUCAAGAACGAAAGUUAGGGGAUCGAAGACGAUCAGAUACCGUCGUAGUCUUAACCAUAAACUAUGCCGACUAGGGAUCGGAUGAUGUUAAUUUUUUUAAUGACUCAUUCGGCGCCUUACG
rnacentral:rRNA from 1 species